AGCUUGCUACCUGACCUAGCGGCGGACGGGUGAGUAAUGCUUAGGAAUCUGCCUAUUAGUGGGGGACAACAUUCCGAAAGGAAUGCUAAUACCGCAUACGCCCUACGGGGGAAAGCAGGGGAUCUUCGGACCUUGCGCUAAUAGAUGAGCCUAAGUCAGAUUAGCUAGUUGGUGGGGUAAAGGCCUACCAAGGCGACGAUCUGUAGCGGGUCUGAGAGGAUGAUCCGCCACACUGGGACUGAGACACGGCCCAGACUCCUACGGGAGGCAGCAGUGGGGAAUAUUGGACAAUGGGCGAAAGCCUGAUCCAGCCAUGCCGCGUGUGUGAAGAAGGCCUUUUGGUUGUAAAGCACUUUAAGCGAGGAGGAGGCUACUUGGAUUAAUACUCUAGGAUAGUGGACGUUACUCGCAGAAUAAGCACCGGCUAACUCUGUGCCAGCAGCCGCGGUAAUACAGAGGGUGCGAGCGUUAAUCGGAUUUACUGGGCGUAAAGCGUGCGUAGGCGGCUUCUUAAGUCGGAUGUGAAAUCCCUGAGCUUAACUUAGGAAUUGCAUUCGAUACUGGGAAGCUAGAGUAUGGGAGAGGAUGGUAGAAUUCCAGGUGUAGCGGUGAAAUGCGUAGAGAUCUGGAGGAAUACCGAUGGCGAAGGCAGCCAUCUGGCCUAAUACUGACGCUGAGGUACGAAAGCAUGGGGAGCAAACAGGAUUAGAUACCCUGGUAGUCCAUGCCGUAAACGAUGUCUACUAGCCGUUGGGGCCUUUGAGGCUUUAGUGGCGCAGCUAACGCGAUAAGUAGACCGCCUGGGGAGUACGGUCGCAAGACUAAAACUCAAAUGAAUUGACGGGGGCCCGCACAAGCGGUGGAGCAUGUGGUUUAAUUCGAUGCAACGCGAAGAACCUUACCUGGUCUUGACAUAGUAAGAACUUUCCAGAGAUGGAUUGGUGCCUUCGGGAACUUACAUACAGGUGCUGCAUGGCUGUCGUCAGCUCGUGUCGUGAGAUGUUGGGUUAAGUCCCGCAACGAGCGCAACCCUUUUCCUUAUUUGCCAGCGGGUUAAGCCGGGAACUUUAAGGAUACUGCCAGUGACAAACUGGAGGAAGGCGGGGACGACGUCAAGUCAUCAUGGCCCUUACGACCAGGGCUACACACGUGCUACAAUGGUCGGUACAAAGGGUUGCUACCUAGCGAUAGGAUGCUAAUCUCAAAAAGCCGAUCGUAGUCCGGAUUGGAGUCUGCAACUCG
rnacentral:rRNA from 1 species